CCCGCGGCGCCCCUCGCCCCACUCACCCUGGCCGGCCAGUGCGGGUAGCCCUUCAUCUUGGCGAACACCAGGUCCACGGAUCGGUUUCUAUGCAAAGAGCAGAGCGCCGAGCUGCUCGGUCGCCUCUCCCCCUUCAUCCCCGGCUGAGGCAUGGGGCUUCCUUUGUGCUCGCCUUACAGGGGGGUUCGGAGAAAGGCAAAAGCUGGAUCGACAUGGAUCCUGCUGAUUUUUUUGCUGUUUUUUUGCCACCGACUCCCCAGCUCCCUGCUGAAAGCCACAACACAUCCAGCUCCCCACCCCUUCGCUGCCCCGAAAUACACCAGGCACCAGCAUUUCUGGCCACGCAAGGGCACAAAGGCGCAAACCCAGGACAUUAAUCCUGGCAAUGGUGGUGCCGGAACCUCCCAUUUCAACGCAUCCAGCCAGGAACUUCUACACCAGGCAUUUCGGGACCCCCGAAAUCUGGAUCCUGGUUUUUGCCCCUCAGUCUCCCCAGUUUUCCCCCAUCCACCAAAUCUAACCCCACCACCAAAUUCCAGACCCUGGUGCAACGAGGCCACAAAGGACUAGAUCCGGGCUACAGAAUUCGCAAGAUGCUGCUAAGUUUGUACCCACACCCCAAAAUUCAUCAGCCUAAAUAUGAAAUGCUUCCACCACCACGUAGGGCAUCAAAGCAGUCUAACAGGCUGGUGUUUGCUGCAUCCAUCCUGUUUAGUUCUCAUACCCAAACCCAAACGCUUCCACCUAAAAACAGCAUAACACCAACAUUAUUAAGACUCAGAUCUGGGACAUGGACUGGGCUGGAUCCUGCCACCAUCUCAAAUUCUCCUCUCCAAAUACAUAAACAAUGCAUCCGUUCCUAAUGCACCAGCCAAUCCCCACACCUUGGUUUAAGCCUGCAUGGCAGUAUCAAAUCACUAAUCUGACUGACACCUGGAUCCUGCAACUUUUUUUACUCCAAGAUUCAACUAGCAUAAUAACAAAGAAUAGCAACUUCAAUUUAUUAGUCCAUGGGAUUAUUAUUGAUAUUUACUAUGUCUAUUAUAGUAGUAUCUAGCAGUUCCAGCACCAACAUGGACAUACUUGGUGAAGACCCUAUAGCUGUGGUUCUCAACCUUUUUUAGAGUUGAGGCAUCUCUCAAUAGACCUAAUUAUUACACUCAAGGUGCUUCUCCAUAAUUUCCUGAAUUGACCCACACCCCAUCUAAAAGGUAAACAGUGUUUACCUCCUUGGAGAGGGAGCAGGGAAAAAGGGAUGGAGCAGUGGCUAAACUGUGAUGAGCCUGAGCCUACACUUAUCUCCUCAUACCUCAGGGUAUUCUUCAAAGGAUCUUGUGGUACCCAUGGGUACCCCAGUACCUGGUUGAGCAGCUCUGCUCUCAUGCUCAUAUGGAGCAUGAAUCCCUCUCCCUCCCAAAGGGUGCAGUCAAGAUGUGACUGCAGCCUGGGUUGAUAAAUCCAAGCUAGCUUUAAACUGCUCCAGUGUGGCUAAGUGGCCACUGCAGCACAAUGCUCAGCAAUGCAGGUGGCAAAACACACCAGAGAAGGUAGAUAAAUCCUCUGGCAAUUGUCCUGCGCUGAAUUUCACAUUGCUGUGGUAUCGCACCAUCACAACCCAACCUUGAUAUGUUCAAGCUAGCCUGGGUAUGUGCAUGAGUGGCAGCCUCACUUUCACUGCAAUGUUGCUACAUCUUCAACAUUGGUAGCCAAACAGUGCAAUUGAUGUUUCACAGCAAAUUUGAUUUUUUUAUAGAGGUUUAUUUAGUUUCUCACCAAUCAUAUUUAAUAGGAAAUCACUGAAAGUCAUUAUAUUAAUGCUGGUAGUUCUUAAAGUGUGUGCAUGUCCACUGAAUUUGUUGCAGCUAGGUGUACACACAUAGGUAGGGCAUGCCACACAUUAAAUCCUUCUUCUUCAGGAGCCAAAUUUUCUUAUAUUUUAUUCUUCAUCAGGGAAGGCUGCACACACAGCUGCUAAUACACAUGCCAAUUCCCACCUACAAUUAAGCAACAAAAACCUAAAUAAAUACACAACAUCUUUGUUGAGAAGCAUCUAGAGUUCUACUACCACCAUAAUCCCACGGAAGUGUGGAAAUGAGAAGUCAAGCCCACCUUGACUCUGCCUUUGACUCUGAGGGCAUCCCUUACUAGUGCCACAACUAUAGUCCAGUAUAAACCUGAACUACAACUGUAAUAUGGCCUUCUUUCCCCUUUCAGUGCACAGUUCCUUAGAAAAACUGUUUUCCCUCCAAAACUAGUAGGUGUCGACAUUUGGUGUAGCAGUAGGUUGUUUUGAGAGGAGUCUGGUGAAGGAGAGGGUGAGAGGAGGUGAAAGAAGAGUUGAGAUUGCAUUGCAUGGAGAAUAUUUUAUCCAUUAGAGCAGGGGGUCUCAAAGUUUUUACGUGGCCCGUAAGUGGCUGUGGCCUGGCAAGCCACAGCCCAGCAGUCACAGCCAACCGCGGCCAGAAUUUCCAGCCAGCAAACACGUAAGGCUGCCCCCACCUCCUGGGGGUGGGCCAAACCCUUUGCUGCCACGGGCCCUGCAGAAGGAGCCGUGGCCUCUCCGGCAGGCUCUGGGGGGCCGUGGUUUGCUGGUCCACACUCACUUCCAGUCCGGCAGCCAACCGUGCUGUAGACCAGCAGCCGACCUGCCGUGGCCGCAGGCUGGGGAUUGAGAACCCCUGCAUUAUAGCAAUGUUUCUCAACCUGUAGGUCACGAGCAAAAGUGGGUCACAAGAAUAUACGAAAGGGUUGUGAACAGACUUAAAAAAUGGAUCAACAAAUGGAUUCUCCUUUAAAGGAGAAAAACAUGGGAAAGCAUGGCUUUUCCCUUGCAGGCUAUCAAGAGUUUCAGCCUGGUCCCCCCAUGCCCCACAACUCCCCUCUUCCCCUCACACCCACCCCCUGCUCCACAUGCUGAGGCCUGGGGGCAGAGGGCAGUGGGUCAGGAGUGAGGAGCACUGGGUGGGGACUGGCCAUCGAUGUUUACAAAUGAGUCCUGGUACAGAAAAGGUUGAGAACCACUGCAUUAGAGCUUGCACAUGUGUAUCAAUCAAGGUCAGGGUGAAGAGGCUGGGAGGGGAGGUAGUAAUGUCUCCUGUUAGGUGUAGCACUGAUUGAUUGGUUCUAUGCCCUGCUAUUGACUGCUCAGUGACCCUGGCAAGUCAAUCUCCUUGUUCCACACUGUCCCCUGUCUGUGAAACAGGGAUAACCAGCACCCUGGUACAACAUUUUGGGAUCCCUGAAUGAAGUGUAUACAGAGAUUGUUACUGAACCAGAAUUAGAUUGCUAGAUGCACCAAAAAUGCCUUCCCAAAUGCUUAGUAUCCCAUCUGAACAAAGACUAUAGACUGGAGUUCCUGUAAAAUUAUAGUCACAGUCAACAAGAGAAAACAAAAUGG